rnacentral:rRNA from 1 species
AUGCACGCUGGCGGCGUGCCUAAUCCCUGCAAGUCGCGCGCACGGACGAGAAGCUUGCUUCUCUGAUGUUAGCGGCGGACGGGUGAGUAACACGUGGAUAACCUACCUAUAAGACUGGGAUAACUUCGGGAAACCGGAGCUAAUACCGGAUAAUAUUUUGAACCGCAUGGUUCAAAAGUGAAAGACGGUCUUGCUGUCACUUAUAGAUGGAUCCGCGCUGCAUUAGCUAGUUGGUAAGGUAACGGCUUACCAAGGCAACGAUGCAUAGCCGACCUGAGAGGGUGAUCGGCCACACUGGAACUGAGACACGGUCCAGACUCCUACGGGAGGCAGCAGUAGGGAAUCUUCCGCAAUGGGCGAAAGCCUGACGGAGCAACGCCGCGUGAGUGAUGAAGGCCUUCGGAUCGUAAAACUCUGUUAUUAGGGAAGAACAUAUGUGUAAGUAACUGUGCACAUCUUGACGGUACCUAAUCAGAAAGCCACGGCUAACUACGUG